rnacentral:ncRNA from 1 species
ACAGUGUCGCAAUAGUAAUUCAACCUAGUACGAGAGGAACCGUUGAUUCGCACAAUUGGUCAUCACGCUUGGUUGAAAAGCCAGUGGCGCGAAGCUACCGUGCGUUGUAUUAUGAUUGAACGGCUCUAAGUCAGAAUCCGGGCUAGAAGCGAUGCGUGUGCCCGUCGCCCGUUUGCCGACCAGCAGUAGGGGGCCUCGGCCCCCCAGAGGCACGUGCCGUUGGUGACCCCCGCGGGGUGGACGAGCCUCGCGGGACGCCUUGAAGCGCUAUUCCCCACUGGGCGGCGGGUAGAAUCCUUUGCAGACGACUUAAAUACGCGACGGGGUAUUGUAAGUGGCAGAGUGGCCUUGCUGCCACGAUCCACUGAGAUUCAGCCCUUGUCGCUUCGAUUC